AAUGCUUAGGAAUCUGCCUAUUAGUGGGGGACAACAUUCCGAAAGGAAUGCUAAUACCGCAUACGUCCUACGGGAGAAAGCAGGGGACCUUCGGGCCUUGCGCUAAUAGAUGAGCCUAAGUCGGAUUAGCUAGUUGGUGGGGUAAAGGCCUACCAAGGCGACGAUCUGUAGCGGGUCUGAGAGGAUGAUCCGCCACACUGGGACUGAGACACGGCCCAGACUCCUACGGGAGGCAGCAGUGGGGAAUAUUGGACAAUGGGCGGAAGCCUGAUCCAGCCAUGCCGCGUGUGUGAAGAAGGCCUUUUGGUUGUAAAGCACUUUAAGCGAGGAGGAGGCUACUAGUAUUAAUACUACUGGAUAGUGGACGUUACUCGCAGAAUAAGCACCGGCUAACUCUGUGCCAGCAGCCGCGGUAAUACAGAGGGUGCGAGCGUUAAUCGGAUUUACUGGGCGUAAAGCGUGCGUAGGCGGCUGAUUAAGUCGGAUGUGAAAUCCCUGAGCUUAACUUAGGAAUUGCAUUCGAUACUGGUCAGCUAGAGUAUGGGAGAGGAUGGUAGAAUUCCAGGUGUAGCGGUGAAAUGCGUAGAGAUCUGGAGG
rnacentral:rRNA from 1 species